CCGCCAUUAGCUCAUCUGGAAGAGCGAACGACAUUUAUUGUGGGUGUUGUAGGGAACGGGGUUCGAGGCCUCGAUGGCGGCCCA
rnacentral:tRNA from 2 species